UCUAGUGUCCUUUCGAAUCCGAAGUUCGCGAAGGAAAGUGCUGCAAAAUGGAGCGACCUUCGGAUUCAGGACACUAAGCCAUGAUCAUCGGCAUCGGGUCGGACAUCAUCGACAUCACGCGCAUCGAGAAGGUGAUCGGACGUCACGGCGACCGGUUUAUCGACCGAAUUUUCACAGAGGCUGAGCGGGCCAAGGCGGAGCGGCGCUCCAAGAUGCCCAAACUGAUCUGGGCGACCUACGCCAAGCGGUUCGCUGCCAAGGAGGCCUGCUCGAAAGCGCUGGGCACCGGCAUCCGGCGCGGGGUGUGGUGGC
rnacentral:misc_RNA from 1 species